rnacentral:rRNA from 1 species
GGCCAGCAUCGGUUCGGAUGGCAAGAUAAUGGCUUGGGAAUGUGGCACUCUUCGGAGUGUGUUAUAGCCCUUGUUGAUGUUGCCNAUCUGGACCGAGGACUGCGCUUUUGCCUAGGAUGCUGGCGUAAU